AUUGAACGCUGGCGGCGUGCCUAACACAUGCAAGUCGAGCGGUAACAGGUGUAGCAAUACAUGCUGACGAGCGGCGAACGGGUGAGUAAUGCUUCGGAAUCUACCUUAUGGUGGGGAAUAACUAGCCGAAAGGUUAGCUAAUACCGCAUACGUCCUACGGGAGAAAGCAGGGGAUCGCAAGACCUUGCGCCAAAAGAUGAGCCGAAGUCGGAUUAGCUAGUUGGUAGGGUAACGGCCUACCAAGGCCACGGUCCGUAGCUGGUCUGAGAGGACGACCAGACAGACUGGGACAGAGACACGGCCCAGACUCCUACGGGAGGCAGCAGUGGGGAAUAUUGGACGAUGGGGGAAACCCUGAUUCAGCGACGCCGCGUGUGUGAAGAAGGCCUGCGGGUUGUAAAGCACUUUUAGUGGGGAUGAAAUGUGCAGGGUUAAUACCUCUGCAUUUUGACCUAACCCACAGAAAAAGCACCGGCUAACUCUGUGCCAGCCGCCGCCGUAA
rnacentral:rRNA from 1 species